rnacentral:rRNA from 1 species
CCUACGGGAGGCAGCAGUGAGGAAUAUUGGUCAAUGGACGAGAGUCUGAACCAGCCAAGUAGCGUGAAGGAUGACUGCCCUAUGGGUUGUAAACCUCUUUUGUCAGGGAGCAACGCCGGCUACGUGUAGCCGGACUGAGAGUACCUGAAGAAAAAGCAUCGGCUAACUCCGUGCCAGCAGCCGCGGUAAUACGGAGGAUGCGAGCGUUAUCCGGAUUUAUUGGGUUUAAAGGGUGCGUAGGUUGUUUUAUAAGUUAGCGGUGAAAUACCGAUGCUCAACAUCGGGGCUGCCGCUAAUACUGUAGG